GGCGGAGGAUGCAAGUGUUAUCCGGAAUCACUGGGCGUAAAGCGUCUGUAGGUUGUUUAAAAAGUCUGCAGUUAAAGGUUGAAGCUUAACUUCAAAAAUGCCGUAGAAACUUUUAAACUAGAGGAUGGUAGGGGUAGAGGGAAUUUCCGGUGGAGCGGUGAAAUGCGUAGAGAUCGGAAAGAACACCAACGGCGAAAGCACUCUGCUGGGCCGACACUGACACUGAGAGACGAAAGCUAGGGGAGCGAAUGGGAUUAGAACCUUACGUAGUCAGUCCAAGCCA
rnacentral:rRNA from 1 species